GCCGCCGUAGCUCAGUAGGUAGGAGCGCUCGGCUGUUAACCGAGUGGUCGCAGGUUCGAGUCCUGCCGGCGGCG
rnacentral:tRNA from 1 species